rnacentral:tRNA from 1 species
GGAGGGUAUAGCUCAGUGGUAGAGUGCAUGCUUAGCAUGCAUGAGGUCCUGGGUUCGAUUCCCAGUACCUCUG